GAUGAACGCUGGCGGCGUGCCUAAUACAUGCAAGUCGAGCGAACAGACGAGGAGCUUGCUCCUCUGACGUUAGCGGCGGACGGGUGAGUAACACGUGGAUAACCUACCUAUAAGACUGGGAUAACUUCGGGAAACCGUAGCUAAUACCGGAUAAUAUAUUGAACCGCAUGGUUCAAUAGUGAAAGACGGUUUUGCUGUCACUUAUAGAUGGAUCCGCGCCGCAUUAGCUAGUUGGUAAGGUAACGGCUUACCAAGGCAACGAGGCGUAGCCGACCUGAGAGGGAGAACGGCCACACUGGAACUGAGACACGGUCCAGACUCCUACGGGAGGCAGCAGUAGAGAAUCUUCCGCAAUGGGCGAAAGCCUGACGGAGCAACGCCGCGUGAGUGAUGAAGGUCUUCGGAUCGUAAAACGCUGUUAGUAGGGAAGAACAAAUGUGUAAGUAACUAUGCACGUCUUGACGGUACCUAAUCAGAAAGCCACGGCUAACUACGUG
rnacentral:rRNA from 1 species